rnacentral:rRNA from 1 species
AACGAACGCUGGCGGCGUGCCUAACACAUGCAAGUCGAGCGCGAAUGGAGCAAUCCUAGUAGAGCGGCGCACGGGUGCGUAACACGUGGGUAAUCUUCCCAGGAGCUCGGGAUAACCAGCCGAAAGGUCGGCUAAUACCGGGUAAGCUCACAGUCUCUCACGAGACAGUGAGAAAAGACGGCCUCUGUACACAAGCUGUCACUUCUGGAUGAGCCCGCGGCCCAUCAGCUAGAUGGCGGGGCAACGGCCCACCAAGGCAACGACGGGUAGCUGGUCUAAGAGGACGAUCAGCCACACUGGAACUGAGACACGGUCCAGACUCCUACGGGAGGCAGCAGUGGGGAAUCUUGCGCAAUGGGCGACAGCCUGACGCAGCAACGCCGCGUGGGGGAAGAAGGCCUUCGGGUUGUAAACCUCUUUCAGGAGGGGCGAAGCUUUGCCGGUGAAUAGCCGUGUGAAGUGACGGUACCUCCACAAGCAGCCCCGGCUAACUACGUGCCAGCCGCCGCCGUAAAAC